CAACACAAACAUCUGUCUCUGUGUCUGCUCAGGAAUCAUCAGGCCCAGCAGUGGGGACACUGUGGUCCCUUGGCAGCAUCAGGCAGGAAAUGACACCCAGGCUUUUGAUGGCACACACACCUGAGAAGGGAUUUGGCUAACUAAGAAAAAUUUGCAUGAAGGUCCCUGUCCAUUCUCUGGGAAUUCUUAAAGGACUAGAGAGACCUGCACGAUAUCUGUCUCAGCCGAGCUCAGUGGUGUCUGCACCAUGGCCUGGACUCUUCUCCUCUUUUUCCUCCUUCAUUGUACAGGGUCUUUCUCCCAACCUGUGCCGAUUCAGUCACCCUCAGCCUCUGCCUCCCUGGGAGCCUCAGUCAAACUCACCUGCACCUUGAGUAGUCAGCACAGCACCAACAACAUUGUUUGGUACCAGCAACAUCCAGACAAGGCUCCUAAGCUUGUGAUGCGUCUUCUGAGUGAUGGAAGCUACAGCAAGGAGGAUGGGAUGCCUGACCGCUUCUCUGGCUCCAGCUCUGGGCCUCAUCACUACUUAAGCAUCUCCAACACCCAGCCUGAAGAUGAAGCUAAAUAUUACUGUGGUGUAGGUGAUAGCAAUGGAUGGGUGUUCGGCAAAGGCACCAUAUUGACUCUCCUAGGUCUGCCCAAGGUUACACCUUCAGUCACCCUUUUCCACCAUCCUCUGAGGAGCCAAGAACAAAAAGGGCACACUGUUGUGUCUGAUAACUGA